AUGCUGCUGUCCAGCAGUCCUGCCCCCACUGAGGGUACGGCUGGGGAGGACGCCCCUGAUUCACUGUCUCCUGAAGAUGAGGAUGGACUGAAUUUGGAGGAAGAGGCGAUGAAUGACUGCAGCAGUGAGCUCAGCAGCUUAACCAAGACUGAAAGUGACCCCCCUGGAGACCUGUCCCUCCCCGGUGAGUACACAUCCAGACACAAGAACCUAUUGUGCAUGCUUUGAGUGUGUCCUUUACAGAGACAUUAUUGUCUUGAGCGUGUGUGCACUCUUAGAACAACAUUGUUCAUUCUUCCUCUCUUGCAAUUUGUCAAACGCUAUGUUUCUGGCUCUCGGUCAUUCAGCUCUAACCUGUGUGCCAUUUAUUCCUUGACUUCCUUUCCCUGCCUUCCUGCCUUCUCUCGUGGUCUUGCUCUGGGCAGCUCUAGGUCCUGAUUCCUGCUCUAUUGGUUUGGAAGAGUAAUGGGUAUGUAGGCUUCUGUGUCCUUCUCUCGGCUGUUCCUCCAUGUUCUUGUUCUCAGUUCCAAACCUAUACGGCACAAAAAGUUCUUCAGUCUCCAUUUUUACUGGUUUAAUCAAUCAUUAAAUUGUUGCUUUGACAUAUUUGUUCAAAUAUGGCAUGUCACAUGUGAUUAUGUGUUUAUUUGUGUAGAGUAGUUUUUUAGCUGCAGUAUUUGUCAUUUCUGUAGGAUUAUCUGGCUCAAUGGAAAGUCUGAACACUCAGAGUACCUGCUGCUCCAGAGAGUACCUGCUGCUCCAGCCAGCCGCUCCUGGGUCCCUCAAGCCAUUUGCACAUGGAUGAUGAUGAACUGGAUGUUUAACCCUGUCCAUCUCCUUCUUUGUACAGCCCGACAUGUCUCAACAUUGCAGUUUGAUGCACUUCCAUUCCAGUAUCCCACUUUGAACAUGAUUGACUCCAUGCCUUUUGAACAUAACCGGCUGAGGCCGAUGAGCUUGUUCUGGAGGUGUGUCAUAUUUCUUGUGCUUGGUGUUUAGGGCUCUAUUUUGAUCAAGUUGCUUACUUCACCCAAAAUGACCACCCUUACUCAAACUCUGCAUUAUUAUCUUUCUUCAUGGAUCACUAAAGAAGUUGGGCAGAAUGUCCAGUCUGCUCUUUUACAUUUCAUGAAAGUUGAUUUUAAAGUACUUGGUAAGCUCCAGAAACCAAUGAAAUAAAAUUAUUAGUUCAUACUACAUAUCAAGUAAUUAAGUUUUCAGAAGCUAAAUGAAAUAUCUGCGAUGAACUGAACAGACCAAACUCUAAACCAUCAAAUAAUAUUCCCUCCAAUUACAAAACGCCUUCAUGGUCUACUCUUAUUGAACUUUUGGAGAUUUGCGAUGCAUCCUUUCAUGGGAAAAAAUAUAAUAUUGGGUUAGAAUGAUGUUGCAGAUGCAAUUUCUGUUGAUUUGUGGAAACACUUAAAAUGUUGUUGUUGUUUUUUAAUUGGCAUCUGUUGUUUCUUGAAGAACUUUUAACAUCCAAGGAACCUUCCAAUUGCACAAAAUGUUCUUCAAACUGGUAAAAGGUUCUCUAGAUGAACUUCAAAAAAAAAUAGUUUUAUGAACUGUUCGCUGAAAGGUUCUUUGAGGAACUUGCUCGCCACUUGUAUGUGUUAAAAAGCUUUAUUUGUAAGAGUGCGGUUGAGGGUGAAGCAGGUCAUUUCGGUGCUUGGUUAUGUGAUGCUAGAUAUAGAACUUUGAUCCAGAAAUUGAUUAUAACAGUAAUAAACAUACAGCAGCUUGUUACAAUUAAUAGACAAAGCACAUUUAUUUCAAUAAAAACUAAUUUCAGGAUAAUCUGUAUGAGUAAAUGUAAAAGUCAGCAAAUGUUAAAUGUUAAACUAACGAGUAAAUAAUACAGAAAAAUAAUUGUAAAUGUUUUAGUAUGUGGUUAAAUGUUCUGAAAUUGUUUUUUGUGUGCUGACUGAAGAUGAGCAGUAAGAUAAGCACUUCUAAAUAUAUCUAUAUUCAUGAUUUCAAAUGUAAUAUUUAUAGUGAUCAAAUACUGUUGGAAAUGGUGGAGUUCUUGUCAGUUUAAUGACCAAAUAUUGUGUGGUCUAACAGUGCUUUAAAUGUGCUUGCUUGUUCAGCUAUUUAAUGCUCUUUAAGGACUAAAAAAGCCAUGGUGGACUCUUAUUUACCUCUAUUUGCUUAUGCAUAUUGUAAUAUAAUCUUUAAAUACUUUUAACAUGUGAAGGCAUUCCUUUCAUGUGACGGUUCAGAUGUUAUUAAAUCAUUGUAGAGCGAGGACUUUGCGAGUAUUUGGUUGGUUGUAUUUCUUGACAGCUGGACCCUGUAUUUCUGAGAGAGGAAAGAAAAGCUCAAUGAACAAGUCACAAGAAGCAUGAAAUCUCAUUGUUCUCCUCAAACAUGCAGAUAUGCAGUGUCUUGUAGCGUUAUGCAUAGAGGUUUAUGUGCCUUUAAAGAACAAAACAAGUGUUGUAACAGCUUUUGCUCAUAGCAGUGCUGUUCUUUUGUUCAUCUUCAGCUGUAACCGUUAGCCUCGACUACAUUUAUGCAUUAGAUGUGAGACUGAUGUUCUUAUUUGUAAUGUCCAUUUUGGAGAGCAGAUCAUUUUAAACUGAUACUAUGUAGGUUGAAACAUAUUGCUUAUACAAAUUUUGUAAUGCUAUGAUACUUAACAUGAUUUUUGUUACAUCAUCUGUUCAUAUUGACUAAGCUGCUCUGUACAUGUAUUUUAAUCAAAUGUAAAAAAAAAAAAAUCUGAUGAAAUAUUGAUGCGGUUGAAUUAAUUGCUUACAGCUCUGCAUGAUAAUUUUGAUGUAAGAUUUAUCACUGCUCUGGAAUAUGCAUAUUAUUUAUUUCCUCAAAUGAUGUGCCAUUUUAAUUAAAUAUUCAACUGUGCCUUCUUGUUCCUCACUUGUGAGAAGUGCAUUUAAAGCGUACUUUCAAUAGGAAUACUAAUUAUGAAAGCAAUAUACUUGUAUCAUUAUUAUGGAACAACUGUUGUAUAUAAAUUCCAUGAGUGUUAUAUCCUAAAUCUAAGAAGUUAAACAUUUGAGUGUUUUUUGAUGUAUAUUUGCAUGUACUUCUGAUAUAUUUUGGUCAGUGGCACUGAAAAUAAAAUGUACUUCAAAGCAACUGUAAUUUAGAAAAAUAUUCUUCUGCACUCGAAAGUGUUUUAUUAUUGUUACUAGCAUAUACUUCUGUUGUGCGGUGCUUUACUACUGUGUACUGAUACUAAAGUGCACUUCAGUACCCUUCAAGACACUUCCUGAAACAUUUACUUUAUUAAAAAUUACUUAAUUUUUUCCCCUUGAUUUAUUUAUAUAUUAAAACCUUUAGUACUUAUUUACAGAUGCACAAAAAUGAUGUCUAUGUCUAUCAUCUUCUAUGGCAGAUUCUUUUAUAUACAUGUUUGAAUAGAAUA
rnacentral:lncRNA from 1 species